rnacentral:rRNA from 1 species
GACUCAACACGGGAAAUCUCACCAGGCCCGGACACCGGAAGGAUUGACAGAUUAACAGCUCUUUCUUGAUUCGGUGGGUGGUGGUGCAUGGCCGUUCUUAGUUGGUGGAGCGAUUUGUCUGGUUAAUUCCGGUAACGAACGAGACUCUAGCCUGCUAAAUAGGCGUCGCAUUUCGGUUUGCGUGGCUUCGGUCGCGCAUCUCACUGGUGGCGUAUUAAAAUUCUUCUUAGAGGGACCGGCGGUGUCGAGCCGCACGAGAUUGAGCAAUAACAGGUCUGUGAUGCCCUUAGAUGUCCUGGGCGCACGCGCGCUACACUGAAGGAAUCAGCAUGUUCUCCCUGGCCUAGAGGCCGGGCAACCCUCUGAAACUCCUUCGUGCUGGGGAUUGGGGUUUGCAAUUAUCCCCCAUAAACGAGGAAUUCCUAGUAAACGCGAGUCAUAAGCUCGCGUCGUAUACGUCCCUGCCCUUUGUACACACCGCCCGUCGCUACUACCGAUUGAAUGAUUUAGUGAGGUCUUCGGACCG